rnacentral:rRNA from 1 species
GCAUAAGCCAGCUUGACUGCGAGCGUGACGGCGCGAGCAGGUGCGAAAGCAGGUCAUAGUGAUCCGGUGGUUCUGAAUGGAAGGGCCAUCGCUCAACGGAUAAAAGGUACUCCGGGGAUAACAGGCUGAUACCGCCCAAGAGUUCAUAUCGACGGCGGUGUUUGGCACCUCGAUGUCGGCUCAUCACAUCCUGGGGCUGAAGUAGGUCCCAAGGGUAUGGCUGUUCGCCAUUUAAAGUGGUACGCGAGCUGGGUUUAGAACGUCGUGAGACAGUUCGGUCCCUAUCUGCCGUGGGCGCUGGAGAACUGAGGGGGGCUGCUCCUAGUACGAGAGGACCGGAGUGGACGCAUCACUGGUGUUCGGGUUGUCAUGCCAAUGGCACUGCCCGGUAGCUAAAUGCGGAAGAGAUAAGUGCUGAAAGCAUCUAAGCACGAAACUUGCCCCGAGAUGAGUUCUCCCUGACUCCUUGAGAGUCCUGAAGGAACGUUGAAGACGACGACGUUGAU